CCGUGGACAGGCCCAGUGAGCCUCCGGCUGCCCUCCUCUUGGACUGAGUUCUUCCACUCAAACACUGCCGUCCUGUGUCAAGACAAACCUGUGUGGACACUCAGAGGACCCUGGGAGGGGCAGUCUUCCUGCCCUUCCUCAAAAGGAGCAAAACAGAACCUUCAGAGAUCACCUUUUAACUGCCACCUGAGUUUCAAAGACGUAUAGAAGAAUUAAACCGGAUGGAGCACUUCAGGAACCUGUCUCUAGCUUCAGCCCCUCUCUUUACCCAGUGAUGCAUCACGCUGCGUUCUAUGGCUUUAUAACUGGCACCUUAAUCUGCCAUCCAACUGACUCUGGAAGCGCCCUCGCCAGUCGCCUUGGCUACUGGUCUGCCCGCUGACCCGUGGCAUCAGUGUAGUGCCCAUCCUGAGACUGGUGAGGGUCCUAGGAGGGAGGCUUUCCUGUCUUGUGGGGUCACACACUCAAAUGCUGAUGAGGACCUGAAAGGUAAUGGAGGUGGGUGACGCUGGUGGGAGGGGACCCUGGUGACCAGUAUAAAAGAGCAGCCUCAGCUCAGCUCCCCCCGAUUGUUUACUUGCGGGGAUUUGGGCCCAGAUCUUUCCAUGUCUCAACACAAGCCAGGAAUGCAGAAUUUUAUGUAUCAUCUCCCCCUUUUAAAAAUGUCAGCAUCUAUUUUAAAACAUUUUUUAAACACCGGGCAGGCCAAAUAAAACAUGUCAGCUGGCAGCUUUGGUCCCGACUGUGAACUCCGUCUCAGAGAGACCCAGAGACUCCCGCUGUGUCCUUCCUGGCCCCAGAGAUUCCCUACAGCUCUGCUCAGCAUGGAUAAGAAAAUAAGAAAUCGGUCACUCCACUAUCCAAUUAGCAGCCGCUGCACAUUCCUUUCCUCUCCCUGCUGGAGGAAAAGAAAACAAACAGGAAAAUCCAGGCUUGUUUUGAUUUGGAUCAAACUGGGGAUGUUACCACCUAUUUGAGGCGCUCUGGGGCUUGCCUUCUGGAGACCAGCGCCGGCCCCUGCCUCAGCCCGAGCUCCUUUUACAUCUGGGUCCUGAGCGCCAAACCACAGCUGCCACAAGCCAGGGAUACUUCCCCAGCAGGCUUGGGGCCCUGCGCAGGGGUUGGAAACCAGUGAGACUGAGCCUGGGGGCGUGGCCGGGCUCAGGGGUGCGUUGUCAUGGUGACCUGCAACUUCCAGAACCACUGCUCCAGUUGGAGACCACUUCUAUGGGGCUGGGCGGUGGGCAGGGUGGGGGAGAGGUUCUUUCUCCUGUAGAGUCUUGUCAACAUCACGGCUACCUAUUCCCCUAAAGUCCUGCAAAGGUGCCAUUCUCGAGAGGCACUACAGAAUGGGAACGCUGGAGGCAAACUUCCUGCGUUUCGACUUCAGCCGUCCGCGCAGUACCUGAGUGAGCCUGGGCAGGAUGCUUAACCUCUCUGCACCUCUGUUUUCUUAUCUGUAAAACGGAGAUAACAGUCGAACUGACCUUGAAGUUGAGGAUUCGAUGAACUUACGUAGUGCAUCUCUACUAGCGCCUGGCACAUAAUAAGUACUAUGUAUAAGAUGUUGCCUCCUUCUCACCAAGAUCCAUCUCAAAGCCUGCUUCCUGGGGAACCGAACGUGCAGAAGGAAAACAGGGGAACACCCAGCUGCGGCACAACUCAUGCCGAUCAGAAGUCAAUCUAGGGCCCACGGAGGGUCAGGGAUCCUGACGGUCUUCAUGGCAAUGCCAGGAAAAGCCUGAAGCCAGGCCCACAAGGAUCAACGCACAGAUGGAGGGCUUUCCACAUUUCCAAGCUUCUUCCAGUUAAUAGCUGGGGGACGGCAGACUCAAACCUCAAGCCAGUUUGCCCCCGGAGCCUCUCCCUUGUCAGAUUUCUUUUCAAAUGUCUUUCAAGAAACUAGUGCACAGGAACAAAUGAAUGGGACUUAAUUGUCAAUGGAUUCUUGAUGCUAGGAGGAAAGGAGGGUACUGUAGAGCCUUGCAGACCACUGGUUCCAGCCUGUGACUGUCAGAUGAGGAAACCAAGGCCUCGAAAGGGGUGGAGACAAGUCCAAGGUCUAAAUGGUGGUGGAGUUGGGACAGAACUCCAGAUCUCCGAGCUCCAUCCUGAAUUUCUAAUUUACCCAAUUCCACUGUGAGGGAGGCAGACAGAGGAGAGUGGAGAAAAGGGAGAGGGGUAGAGCCAAGACUUUCACUCCAAAUCCCAGUGGCCUGGGCCAAAGGCCUCCUCAAUACUAAUAACAAUGGCAACUUUUACUGAGCACCCACUAAGUGGCAGGAGUCCUAUUAAGCACUGUGGCUCAUUUAAGCCAUUAUCUCAUUGAAGUCUCACAACAACCCAAUAAAGGUGGGUAUUAUUAUUAUUAUACCUACCUUAUAGGACAGGAAUCAGACUCAGAGAGGUGAAGUCAUUUUCUCAGAGAUAUCUGGCUUAAGGGCAGCUGAGUCUGGCCUGAACACCAGCUCAGUUUCACUUUAGCGUUCCCUCUCUUCCUUGGUGUAAUUUAUAGUCCCCUGGUCUCUUCCCAGAUCCUUGGAGACUUUAGUUUCUUUCCUUGGUUUUUUACUCCUCCUCUCCCUUUCAAACUACAAGAAGAGGGAAGUUAUCUAUCCUGUAAGUGAAUGCUUAGGACCACGGCAGCCUGGAAGUAUGGGAAGCAUUCGAGAUCGGAGGUUCCUGAGUUCAAACCCUAACUCUGUCACUUGCUAGCUCUGUCCCCCGUCGGAGCCUCUAGCUCCACGUUGGUGAAAUGAUAAAUAGAAAACCCAUGAUUAUAAACCCUUCUAUCUUGCCAGAGCAAAACACUUGGCCCUUUAUUAGAGGUCCUGUAGGUCCUUCUGUUCCAAUAAGUCCUCACCCAUGGAGUUAGGAGCAAGGACGAUCUCAGGGCAAAUAAUUACUGGAACAGGAGGCACAGUGAAGAAGGAGGCAAACAGCUGAUAUUCAACAUAUUCAACCUACCAGUGGCCAGUGGCCUUGGUACUCAGUCUCCCCCUCUGCGCAAUGGGAAUGAAGGCAGCAGAAUACUUCUCCUAGGGCUGUUGUGAGCCUUGAAUGAAAAUAACGCCUGCGACGUGCCGAGCCCAGUGCCUCGUACGUCACAAAUGAUCAACAAAUGGUACUAUUAUUAUUGUCAUCUCGGGGCCAGUGGCUUACAAGUCCUGAGAGUCACUCUUGGACCAUGCCAAGAAGCAAAAACACCAGCUAUAAGCCAGACUAGUGGUUCUCAAACAUCAGUAGGCACAAGAGUCACUUGCAGGCAGAGCCAGGUUCAUGGGUGUACGUCCUGUGCAGUCACACAGGACCCCAUGCUUAGAAGACUCUAGGUGUGGUUCAAUGCUGCGCUGUCACCGUCUCGAAAUUCUAGAUAAUUUCUGAAGAAGGGCCCUGUGUUUUCAUUUGGCACUGGGCCCCAUGAAUUUCACAGGCCAGCCUUGUCUGGAAAACUUAUUAAAACACAGAUAACUGGGGCCACCUCAAGGAUUUCUGAUUCAGUAGAUUUGGGAGGUAGUCCACCACACCCCGCCAAUCUGCAUUUCUGACAAGGUCCCAGAUCGUGCUGGUGCUACUGGUCUCUGGACCACGUUUUGAGAACUACUGAUUGAGACAGUGGCUAUGAACCCCGAUUAUAUAUUAGAAUCGCCAGGAAAGUACCUGGGCUCCACCUUCACCUGACUAAAUGGAAUUGUUAUGAGUGCAUUCCUAGCUUCAGUAUUUUUGAAAGGCUCACCAGGUAAUUCUAAUGUACACCCAGGAGUGAGGACCACUGGGUUAGAGCAGAGAAUCCCGAACUUCCCUCAGGAGAAGAAACCCCUGUAGGCAUGAGUCACCCACACGAACACCCAGGCCCCAUCCUAAACCCAGUGCUGUGCACAAUGUCUAGAGAAGGGUCAAGGAGGCUGUAUGUUCAAGAAGCACUUGAGAUGAUUCUUAGCCUGGGACAAUGUGGGCAAACCUGUUUAGAGCAGCAUUUCUCAAUCUUUAAUGAGCACAGGAAACACUUGGGAACUUGUUAUGCAGCAGAUUCUGAUUUAGUCGACCUGGGAUGGGCCCAAGAAUUUCUAUUUCUCCCCUGCUCCCUGGGAAUACCACUGCUGCUGGUCCAGAGAGCACACUUGGGGUAACCCAGGUCUAGGCUAAAGAAACAGGAAGGUAAUGGGGUGGCUUAAAAUUUGGUGAAGCAACCUCCAAUUGUCCAGGACAAGAAGAAGAUGGGGAAAAGGUGAUGCAUCCCAGCUUCAGUUGGUGCAGAAAGUCUUUACUUGAUAAACCACAUGUGAGAGAUCAUUCUCAAAGUGGGGUCUAAAAAGCCACCCCAGGACGCUCUGCUCUUUCUACAGAUGAGGGCUACAGUGAGUCAGGGUUUAAGAACCACCCAGAGGAGUUCUUCAGUUCAACCCAUCAGAACCUGGGCCAGUUCUCCUCUCUAAGCCUCCAUCCUCUCAGGGGCAAGGUUGCCAACAUGCCCAUUAAUCUAUUUCAUGGCUGCUUCUGGACAUCAGAACACGAAAAGGCCUUUUGAUAGCAAAAUUCCAUACCAACUACAGUUCCUGUUAUUUCUGUACAGUGACAUGACAGGUUCCUAGAUAAUAUCUUCUCGACUUUCCAACAUCUUCCCGGGGAAACGGACCAAGAUGUGGCAUACUUCCUGCCCUGGAAGGCCUUUCCUCUCAAUCCAUUCUCACAUCUUUACUGAGCUCCCCAGGAACUUAUCAGCUUGUGGGACUGAAAAUACAGCCAGGAAAGAGGCAGUGAGGAUGAAUGGUGAGUGGGCAGUACAGAGACCAGGUUCUUAAGAGAACUCUCCAGGAUAUGGAAACUGAGAAGGGUUACCCAGGAGUGGCUGAAGAGGAGAGCGUCCAGGUGAAGGGUAUGAGCACCAUGGACAGGUAAACUGUAUGUAAGGGUCAGCAAAGAUGCAGGCUGGUAGGGAAGUGGUGUUGGAACAGAUCAUCUCAGGUUCUCUUAGAGCUACAAGGCCCCUAAACCAGCCUACCCCUGUAGGGAAACUGAGGCUCCGAAUGAAGAAACGUGUUGAUUAAGCAUAUUUCAGCUACAGGUAACAGACAGAACUGUCCCAAGGAAGGCUGCAGCACAGCCUCAGCUGGGGAUGAUUUUGUGGUAACUGAAAUGACAAGCGCCUAGCCCACCUGUACGCAGAACAGUCACCUGCAAACCUCCCUCGCCAGAGCGCUGCCAUAAAUUAAUCUUUAAUUUCCACCGCUGGGGCUGUGGCGCGGCUAAUCACGACCACUAAUUGCUAUCACAAGCUUCUCCCUUCGCUGUUUUAUGUUUCCAUAUUAGCCUGUUCAGUAUGCUUUGUGUCUGUUUAUUUUAUAGCCGGAAAUACUUUUAAUAGCCUAGUGAAUUGAAAAUGGACUUCACUACCAUCUGACUUCACUGGAGUUUUACAACCAUUCAAUUAAUGGUAUCAGUAAUCUUCCUGCAUAAUUAGAGAGUUAGUAGCUUUCUCAGGCACUGCUGUUAAUGAAACUAGUACUCGGCAUCCACCUAAUCGUAUUUUGGGGGGCUCCAAAUGGGAAACUCACAAGCUUGGGGGCUGCCAGGAUGGAAUGCCACGAUGAGCUGGCUGUAAAUACCGCCUGCAAAUAUAUGGUUUAUUAUGGUGAUAACGGGCAAUUCUAGUUUACAUAAAUCUGAGCAUUCCUGCUGACAGAGGAGAAAUGGUUUUCCUCAGUUGCUAGGAAAUAAGAGUUAGUUCCUGGGUCUCACACGCUUCACUGACUUCUCCUGGCAGCUGACGGAUUCUCUAUGUGAGGGGAUCACAGCCGUUAGCCACCCCAGUGCGAAGGUGGGGAGUAUCAAAUCCAAUUCCCCUGACGUGCACACCCAAGUGGGUCUACUCCACACAAGACGAUGCCGGGGAGAUAGAGCUGCGUGUAAAAGAUUCCACUUCUCCCGCAUUCAGUUCAACAGAUGGCAAAUUCUGCAAAAGACCCCGAAAUAAAGCCUUAUUCUCAAGGCAUUUUCCAUCUACUGGACUUUUUAUGUCCCCAAAAACGUCUUCACUGGGGGAGGAGAGUUCUUCUCUCAAAUCUGCCUGAGUCUAUGAAACUUCUAUCACGUGGACCUCCUUAACACAUCCUCUGAAAGGAUACAUACGAUGCGACUAAAGUAAACAUACAAGCAGAGAAGAUUCAGGGGUUGAGGAGACUUAGAAGAAAGUGAUUUAAAUUGUGAGCAGUUUGCCGGCAUCUAUCUAGUUCUCGCAAAAUAAGAAUCAUACUGGUGGGCACGACUGUUUCUAUCACUGGAAGACGGUUCCCUAACAGUUAAGGAAAAAAGGACUCUCCCAUCCACAGAACAACAAAACAUCCCGCUCAUUUGUAAGAAACUAAAAGGGGGACAGGGAUGUCCUAGUGGGGAGGGAGUGGCCUGGGAGGUAGCCUGGAGAGGUGGGUGGGAACCAGAGUGUAAAGGGAUUUGUAAAUCACCUGAAAGGGGUUUGGCUUUAUCCUCAGUGGAAUGGAAAAGCAUUAAGGGCUGUGAGGUGUGUGAUUCACAUGGUCAGAAGAGGUGAGAACAUGACAGAGUGGAAUGCAAGGACUAAGUUGGGCAAAGGGACCAGACUGAAGACUGUGCACAGGACAGAGACGUGCCAGUGUCUCUUUCAUAAGGUGCCUGCUGUGUGGGGUAGAGGUGGCAGCUGAAGGCACCCCGACGAGGGCCGAUGGCUUAGGACUGGGAGUGAGUAGCCUGGAAAACCCUGAUGGGUACUUGGCUGCAUCAAGCUAAACUGAGGAAUGAGGCUGUACACGUGUAAUUUAUGCACCUCCUUGAACCCUGAGCUUACAAAUAAAUUUAGCUCCUGGCCAACAGCCUGAGCACAUGUGCUGGGCUGGAGGGCUGCCACGGAGGACAACCAGAGUGGAAAUUGAGAACAGAUGACAUCCUGCAUGAUCGCUCGUUGGAGAAAAGCCACCACCCACCACCAGCACUAUCACCUUUGCUCUCCAUCUCCAGAUCCAGCCCGCUCGACCCUGGGGAGCUGAGAGCAGGCAGACCUUGGUUUCCGAAACUCUCAAGUUACUCUGUCUUCUUCCAAGUUCACAUUGACAAAAUGUGUGAACUUGGGCAAAUUAAUCUCUGAAGCUUUCGUUUCCUCACUGUAAAAUGGAAAUGAUAGAACUAUCUACCUUAUAAGGAUUAAAUAGCCUAAUAUAUAUAUAAAACACUUAGAAUAUAGCCUGACACUUAGGAAGCACUUGUUCACAGUUAGCUGCUAUUAUUAUUACUAUCACAGUGACCUAAUAAAGGCAGACCUCAGAGACACUGCAGGUUCGGUUCCAGACCACCACAAUAAAGCAAAUGUCGCAAUAAAGCAAGUCACACGAAUUUUUUGCUUUCCCAGUGCAUACAAAAGUUAUGUUUACACUAUAUGGUAGUCCACUCAGUGUGCAAUAGCAUUAUGUGUAAAAAAUGUACAUAUCGUAAAAGACUCUAUUGCUAAAAAAUAUGAAGCACGGGGCUUCCCUGGUGGCGCAGUGGUUGAGAGUCCGCCUGCCGAUGCAGGGGACACGGGUUCAUGCCCCGGUCCAGGAAGAUCCCACAUGCCGCGGAGCGGCUGGGCCCGUGAGCCAUG